GGCUGGUCCAAGUGUGGUGGUAUUUACAACUAAUUGAUCAUAAUCAGUUACAGAUUUAUUUGCUCCUUCUCCUUUUCAACUCCCAUUGCUUCAAUUGACUAGCCUAAA
ensembl:misc_RNA Y_RNA Y RNA